rnacentral:tRNA from 1 species
GCGGCUGUAGCUCAGUGGAUAGAGCAUCUGUCUUCGGAACAGAGGGUCGGGAGUUCGAAUCUCUCCAGCCGUACCA